UGAGCUUGAAUAAUUUUAUGUUUAAGAUAGGUAUCGUUAAGUUUAGAAGAUCAUUGAAAUAAGAUGUGUAUUUAAAUUAGAGAAGAGAUUACGUUUGAUUAACAAAAUGAAGCGUUUUGUGUUUAACUAAUAGACAAUUCGACACGGUUGAUGACAUUCCAUGGAGGUGUACAAUCAGAACACCACAGAAGAUCACCUGAUAGCAGACUAGCCUAUCGCAGUUUCAGACGAAGAUCUAUGAAUUGUGAGAAUGGAUGAUUAGCAGAGCAUAGCAGAGUUUAAACCGUGAUGAGCAAUAACGAUCUUGAUGAACAAUUACUGAUUUUGAUGAACCAGACUGAUAGACUCUGGGAAAGUCGGAGGGAGUUAAGAGGGAGAGAGAUCGGAGAUCCGAUGUCUUUCUCGGGUCAGUGCAGUCUUAUAAGUUUGUUUCAGAGCAGUGCUUAUAACAGAGUCCAGUAUGCCGGUUCCAUCCGGAUGCUUUAAUCUUUCCAGUCAUAAGUAUUCCAGUUGCUCUGAACCGACACAUCGUGUAGUUUACCGGGCAAGUCUUCCAUUCCAUAAUCUAAAGAACCGUGACUAAGUUUCCGGGUAGAAGUAAGCUAACGACGAUAAGAUUCCCGAUCUCCCUCUCACUUGAAGGACCAUUAUACGGAUUGAAGUUGUUCUUGAGGUCAAUAGACCCGAAUCUUCCUACUCAGAACGUGCUGCCUUUGCCGAUACCUGCUAGAUUAAUUGAUUCUCCGUCAUCA